UACGUAGGGGGCAAGCGUUGUCCGGAAUCAUUGGGCGUAAAGGGCGCGUAGGCGGCCCAGUAAGUCCGCUGUAAAAGUCAAAGGCUCAACCUUUGAAUGCCGGUGGAUACUGCUGGGCUAGAGUCCGGAAGAGGCGAGUGGAAUUCCUGGUGUAGCGGUGGAAUGCGCAGAUAUCAGGAAGAACACCAAUGGCGAAGGCAGCUCUCUGGGACGGUACUGACGCUGAGACGCGAAAGCGUGGGGAGCGAACAGG
rnacentral:rRNA from 1 species